rnacentral:rRNA from 1 species
GUAGGUGGCAAGCGUUGUCCGGAAUUAUUGGGCGUAAAGCGCGCGCAGGCGGUUCUUUAAGUCUGAUGUGAAAGCCCACGGCUCAACCGUGGAGGGUCAUUGGAAACUGGAGAACUUGAGUACAGAAGAGGAAAGCGGAAUUCCACGUGUAGCGGUGAAAUGCGUAGAGAUGUGGAGGAACACCAGCGGCGAAGGCGGCUUUCUGGUCUGUAACUGACGCUGAGGCGCGAAAGCGUGGGGAGCAAACAGGAUUAGAUACCCUGGUAGUCCACGCCGUAAACGAUGAGUGCUAAGUGUUAGGGGGGUUUUCCGCCCCCCUUAGUGCUGCAGCUAACGCAUUAAGCACUCCGCCUGGGAGUACGGCCGCAAGGCUG